rnacentral:rRNA from 1 species
AUUGAACGCUGGCGGCAGGCCUAACACAUGCAAGUCGAGCGGAUGAAGGGAGCUUGCUCCUGGAUUCAGCGGCGGACGGGUGAGUAAUGCCUAGGAAUCUGCCUGGUAGUGGGGGAUAACGUCCGGAAACGGGCGCUAAUACCGCAUACGUCCUGAGGGAGAAAGUGGGGGAUCUUCGGACCUCACGCUAUCAGAUGAGCCUAGGUCGGAUUAGCUAGUUGGUGGGGUAAAGGCCUACCAAGGCGACGAUCCGUAACUGGUCUGAGAGGAUGAUCAGUCACACUGGAACUGAGACACGGUCCAGACCCCUACGGGAGGCAGCAGUGGGGAAUUUUGGACAAUGGGCGAAAGCCUGAUCCAGCCAUGCCGCGUGUGUGAAGAAGGUCUUGGGUUUGUAAAGCACUUUAAGUUGGGAGGAAGGGCAGUAAGUUAAAACCUUGCUUUUUUGACGUUACCAACAGAAUAAGCACCGGCUAACUUCGU